rnacentral:lncRNA from 1 species
CAGUAAAACCUUUCAAGAAUUGUGUAUUUUUGGGGCCUAAGUUCGUUUCUUGAAGGCAGAAUGCAACUGGCGAUAGCUUAUUUAUGAUGUCUUUGAUGUCGCCUAGAUUAUGAAUCAGGCCUCUACAGUUCCAAUGGAUGAUGAAAGCCAUUUUAUUCGAAUUGGGA